UUUAUGUUACUAUAGUCAUCAUUAAUGCAGUAUUAUUUUUUGCUUUCUAAUCUGAGCUCUAGGUUUUCUUUGUUGUCUUCUUUGCUCUAGUGAACUCGGCUCCAUUUAUUCAAUUUAAAAAUUCUAGAAUUAUAAAGAUUCCAACUUAUAAUCAGUGUAGAAUGCAGAACAUUCUGUCUAGUGGUAUGUGUACUCAAUUUUAAAAAUAUUUGCUGAAACAAAUUAGAUGAAAAGUUAUAAUGAUAUGGUAGAUUAUGAUUUUUAAAAGUAGUAGUGCACCUAAUAUAAAUGACCGGAGCACCUCACCACACUCACAUCGAGAGUUUCCCCAGGGUGGAGGAUGAUGCUGCAAAAUCAAUUUCAUUCACUCUUCCAAUAGGACAACUGGGCAGACACUAUUGUCUGCACAUUUUCCUGAUUAGGACAAUAUUAAGGCUAUUUACAUGCACAUUAAUUCAUACCUAGUUGGCAAUUAAAAUAUUGGGUAAUUUUUCUUAUGGUGUUUUUGUUUUUUAUUGAAAUAUAAUUGACAGGUAACAUUAUAUUAGUUUCAGGUGUACAACAUAAUGAUUUUAUAAUUGUAUACAUUGAUAAUAUGAUCACCACAAUAAGUCUAGUCAACAUCUAUCACAAUACAUAAUUACAAAAAUUUUUUUCUUGUGCUGAGAACUUUUAGGAUCUACUCUCUUAGCAACUCUCAAUUAUAUGAUACAGUAUUAUGAAACUAUAGUCACCAUGCUGUGCAAUACAUUUCCAUGACUUAUUUAUUUUAUAGCUGAAAGUUUGUACAAAAGGUAUAAAUUUCCAGUCAUUAUCCCUUUUUUUCAGGAAGAUUAGCCCUGAGCUAACAUCUGCCACCUAUCCUCUUCUUUUUGCUAAGGAAGAUUAUGUGACUUUAUUGAGACACAUUAAAGAAGGCUAAAUAAGUGGAGAGACAUACCAAAUUCACUAUAUUCAUAGAUUGCAAGAAUCAAAUAUACAGAUACACAAUAUUGCCAAUUUAUCUUCCAGUGGCAUUUAAAUCAAGGUCUUGCC
rnacentral:lncRNA from 1 species